rnacentral:rRNA from 1 species
GCAGCAGUGAGGGAAUAUUGGUCAAUGGGAGGCAACUCUGAACCAGCCAUGCCGCGUGCAGGAUGACGGUCCUAUGGAUUGUAAACUGCUUUUGUACGGGAAGAAAUGGUAAUUACGUGUAAUUAUUUGACGGUACCGUAAGAAUAAGGAUCGGCUAACUCCGUGCCAGCAGCCGCGGUAAUACGGAGGAUCCGAGCGUUAUCCGGAAUUAUUGGGUUUAAAGGGUUUCGUAGGCGGUUGAGUAAGUCAGUGGUGAAAUCUUAUAGCUUAACUAUAAAAUUGCCGUUGAUACUGCUUGACUUGAAUAGUAUGGAAGUAAUUAGAAUAUGUAGUGUAGCGGUGAAAUGCUUAGAUAUUACAUGGAAUACCAAUUGCGAAGGCAGAUUACUACGUACUUA